GACGAACGCUGGCGGCGUGCUUAACACAUGCAAGUCGAACGGAAGGGCCCUGCUUUUGUGGGGUGCUCGAGUGGCGAACGGGUGAGUAACACGUGAGUAACCUGCCCUUGACUUUGGGAUAACUUCAGGAAACUGGGGCUAAUACCGGAUAGGAGCUCCUGCUGCAUGGUGGGGGUUGGAAAGUUUCGGCGGUUGGGGAUGGACUCGCGGCUUAUCAGCUUGUUGGUGGGGUAGUGGCUUACCAAGGCUUUGACGGGUAGCCGGCCUGAGAGGGUGACCGGCCACAUUGGGACUGAGAUACGGCCCAGACUCCUAAGGGAGGCAGCAGUGGGGAAUAUUGCACAAUGGGCGGAAGCCUGAUGCAGCAACGCCGCGUGCGGGAUGACGGCCUUCGGGUUGUAAACCGCUUUCGCCUGUGACGAAGCGUGAGUGACGGUAAUGGGUAAAGAAGCACCGGCUAACUACGUG
rnacentral:rRNA from 1 species